rnacentral:rRNA from 1 species
CCUACGGGAGGCAGCAGUGAGGAAUAUUGGUCAAUGGGCGCGAGCCUGAACCAGCCAAGUAGCGUGAAGGAUGACUGCCCUACGGGUUGUAAACUUCUUUUAUAAAGGAAUAAAGUGCGGCACGUGUGCCUUUUUGCAUGUACCUUAUGAAUAAGGAUCGGCUAACUCCGUGCCAGCAGCCGCGGUAAUACGGAGGAUCCGAGCGUUAUCCGGAUUUAUUGGGUUUAAAGGGAGCGUAGGUGGGUUGUUAAGUCAGGUGUGAAAGUUUGCGGCUCAACCGUAAAAUUGCAGUUGAUACUGGCAGUCUUGAGUGCAGUUGAGGUAGGCGGAAUUCGUGGUGUAGCGGUGAAAUGCUUAGAUAUCACGAAGAACUCCGAUUGCGAAGGCAGCUUACUAGACUGCAACUGACAUUGAUGCUCGAAAGUGUGGGUAUCAAACAGGAUUAGAUACCCUUGUAGUC